rnacentral:tRNA from 1 species
UGGGGUGAGAGAGUGCAGGCAACGAAGCAUAAAAGCAAAGGACGAGGAAAAAAACUGCGUUCGGGACGCAGGGGUCGCAGUUUCAAAUCCUGUCACCCCGACCA